rnacentral:rRNA from 1 species
CGAGUGGCGAACGGGUGAGUAACACGUGGGUGAUCUGCCCUGCACUCCGGGAUAAGCCUGGGAAACUGGGUCUAAUACCGGAUAGGACGAUGGUUUGGAUGCCAUUGUGGAAAGCUUUUCGGUGUGGGAUGAGCUCGCGGCCUAUCAGCUUGUUGGUGGGGUAAUGGCCUACCAAGGCGUCGACGGGUAGCCGGCCUGAGAGGGUGUACGGCCACAUUGGGACUGAGAUACGGCCCAG